GGGGUUGACUGGAUUUGACGGCGAGAUGAAAUGGUACGUAAGCACGCGGAGCCUCGAUUAUUCGCUCCUAAAUCAGAGUAGUCAAAAAAUUAAUUGGCGAAAACAAUUACGCUCUCGCUGCCUAAUCGAAGCAUAGUAGAUU
rnacentral:tmRNA from 1 species